UACAUAGGUCUCAAGCGUUGUUCGGAUUCAUUGGGCGUAAAGGGUGCGUAGGCGGCGCGGUAAGUCGGGUGUGAAAUCUUGGAGCUUAACUCCGAAACUGCAUUCGAUACUGCCGUGCUUGAGGACUGGAGAGGAGACUGGAAUUUACGGUGUAGCGGUGAAAUGCGUAGAUAUCGUAAGGAAGACCAGUGGCGAAGGCGGGUCUCUGGACAGUUACUGACGCUGAGGAGCGAAAGCGUGGGGAGCGAACAGG
rnacentral:rRNA from 1 species